AAAUAAGAAGCGAAUUAUUGCAGUCAGUUUCGACCUGAAAGAAUGAUAUAUUUAUAUCCUUAGUGU
rnacentral:tRNA from 1 species